rnacentral:rRNA from 1 species
GACGAACGCUGGCGGCGUGCCUAAUACAUGCAAGUUGAGCGCUGAAGGUUGGUACUUGUACCAACUGGAUGAGCAGCGAACGGGUGAGUAACGCGUGGGGAAUCUGCCUUUGAGCGGGGGACAACAUUUGGAAACGAAUGCUAAUACCGCAUAAAAACUUUAAACACAAGUUUUAAGUUUGAAAGAUGCAAUUGCAUCACUCAAAGAUGAUCCCGCGUUGUAUUAGCUAGUUGGUGAGGUAAAGGCUCACCAAGGCGAUGAUACAUAGCCGACCUGAGAGGGUGAUCGGCCACAUUGGGACUGGGACACGGCCCAAACUCCUACGGGAGGCAGCAGUAGGGAAUCUUCGGCAAUGGACGAAAGUCUGACCGAGCAACGCCGCGUGAGUGAAGAAGGUUUUCGGAUCGUAAAACCCUGUUGGUAGAGAAGAACGUUGGUGAGAGUGGAAAGCUCAUCAAGUGACGGUAACUACCCAGAAAGGGACGGCUAACUACGUG